rnacentral:rRNA from 1 species
CUACGGGCCGCUGCAGUGGGGAAUAUUGGGCAAUGGGGGAAACCCUGACCCAGCAACGCCGCGUGAAGGAAGAAGGCUUUCGGGUUGUAAACUUCUUUGACCAGGGACGAAACAAAUGACGGUACCUGAAAAACAAGCCACGGCUAACUACGUGCCAGCAGCCGCGGUAAUACGUAGGUGGCAAGCGUUGUCCGGAUUUACUGGGUGUAAAGGGCGCGUAGGCGGGACUGCAAGUCAGAUGUGAAAUCUGGGGGCUUAACCCUCAAACUGCAUUUGAAACUGUGGUUCUUGAGUGAUGGAGAGGCAGGCGGAAUUCCUAGUGUAGCGGUGAAAUGCGUAGAUAUUAGGAGGAACACCAGUGGCGAAGGCGGCCUGCUGGACAUUAACUGACGCUGAGGCGCGAAAGCGUGGGGAGCAAACAGGAUUAGAUACCCCAGUAGUC